CAAGUAGGUUUGGGGUCAGGGGAGGGAGGGAGCAGCACUGGAAGAGCCCCUGACCUGGGCCUGGCAGCUGUCACCCUUCCUGGCACAUCCCUGGCACGCACG